CGUAGCUCAGUUGGUUAGAGCACCACCUUGACAUGGUGGGGGUCGUUGGUUCGAAUCCAAUCG
rnacentral:tRNA from 2 species